UCCAUUAAUAAUAAAACUGGUUUGAUUUAUCUAAUGUGAUUUAAUCAUUAUAUAUGUGUUUUAAUGUGUUUAGUUAAAGAAAUUUUUAUAAAUGCAGUGCAUAAGUUUUAAUCGGUGAGUUAAGUGUAUUUAUAUGAUCAAGUUAUUAUGAUUUUUAUUUGAGGAUUACUUGGAAUUUUAAUUAAGUUUCCAAAGCAAGUGUAGUUUAUUUUACCGAGAAAUCAAAGAAUGCCGGUUCAUGGAAAUUUUUUCCAAACAAAAUAUUUUCAAAUUAUUUUUCCUAUGAUGAGGAAUAUUAUAAUUGAGUGAGUGCACUAAUAUUAGUGCCAUAUUUAUUUUAAAUUUUGGUCACAAGAGUUUUGUGUUAUAGCAUUUCAUUAAUUAGUGAUUAGUCUUUCAUGAUUUUAAUACAUGGUUUAUUCCUACACCACAUACUACCUUACACACACAUGAUUAUUUUAAUUAAUUGAGCAUGUGUUUAAUUCCUAACCUUGCAUGAGAAGGGCACAAGUGGCCAAGUGGGCUUUUAAUAUUCAUUAAUUACUUAGGAAACUUAGUGACCAAGUUUAGCAUUAAACAAAAGCAUUUCCUCUCUCUUCCUCCCCUCUCACUUUCGUCCAUCUCUCUCUCCCUCUCUACUCUCACUAUUUUCUUUUCAAUCCAUCAUGGAAGAACACUCCAAAGCUUCUAAACACAUAGAUCCACCAUCACCACUCCUAGAACUAGCCUUCAAUCACCAAGAAUCAAGAGAAUGAUCAAGCUAGAGUUUCCAAACCCAAGUGGAUCAAAGAGUUCGCCAUUUUCUUAAAUAUUGAGGGUCCGGGCGAUAGGAAGUGAAGCCGAAGAAGAAGCGACUCCACGCUAGCUUAAGAACGUUUGAGGUGGGCAUUACUUUUACUAUACGUAUAUAGAGAUCCCCUGCGUGUCGUAGGCCUCUUAUACGAAUAUAUGCAUGAGAUGAUUUUUAACUGUUAAUUUCAGUUUAUUAUUAUGCCCAAAUGAUAAAUGACUCUUAUGAAAUGAAAAUGGAAUGUUUAUGAAAUGAAAUGAAAUGUUUAUGAAAUGAUUGACUGCCAAAAAUGUUUAUGUUUUACGUAUGUAUCCUAUCUGUGUUGGUUCGCCAACUUUAAAGGAAAUCCAAUUGGGAUCCUAUGCUAGACAAAGGUCGCUAGCUAGGGUUAACGUGUACACUUAUGGAGACUGCGAGUCGCUUGCGACCGGUCUUGGCGUCCGUGGUAAGGAGGCCUCCUUCCCGGCGCGUGACAGAAAGGAACAGAUAUGGAUCAUAUGAAGAAAAAUGGGUCGGCCGGCCAAUCUUAUGAAAAUGAAAGAAAUGUUUUAGUAAGCGCAGGACUUUCAAGAAAACCCCUGUGUGUUACUGUUGGCAGUUCAAUUUAUAUAUGUUAUGCAUGAUUGUAUUUUCGGCAUAUGUCCACUGAGUAUUUUUAUACUCAACCCUGCAUGUAUUUCUAAAUGUGCAGGUUGAGCAGUUGAUGGAAUGGAAUGGUGUUGAGCGGGUGUUCAUUUGAUCAUUUCAAGAAAUGUAACCUUGAGUAUACAUCUUCAUAUGCAUAUCUUACACGUUUUCCGCUGCAAAACACUUUGAUUAGGAUAACUCUAUGUUAUGAAGUUGUGACACGUGAUAUUGGGUAACCCACCUUAAUCAGUUCUCCUUUAUGUGUAUGUGUUAUAAGUAUCCAAAUGAUCAUAUAUGAUCCUAGCAUUUUAUCUAUAUGUGACAUUUCCAUAUACUUUAAUGUUAAGUAAUUAUCCAUUUCCGUUUCCA